UCCAGGGUAGCCUAGUGGUCAUGGCAUCUGCCCGGUAAGCGGAAGGUCGUGGGUUCAAUUCCCAUCCCUGGAC
rnacentral:tRNA from 1 species